GGGAGAGGUGGCUGAGUGGUUGAUAGCUCCGGUCUUGAAAACCGGUAUAGUUCCGAUAACUAUCGAGGGUUCGAAUCCCUCUCUCUCCUU
rnacentral:tRNA from 5 species